GACGAACGCUGGCGGCGUGCCUAAUACAUGCAAGUCGAACGCAUUUUCUUUCACCGUAGCUUGCUACACCGAAAGAAAAUGAGUUGCGAACGGGUGAGUAACACGUGGGUAACCUGCCCAUCAGCGGGGGAUAACACUUGGAAACAGGUGCUAAUACCGCAUAAUUCCAUUUACCGCAUGGUAAAUGGAUGAAAGGCGCUUUUGCGUCACUGAUGGAUGGACCCGCGGUGCAUUAGCUAGUGGGUGGGGUAACGGCCUACCAAGGCUGGGAUGCAUAGCAGACCUGAGAGGGUGAUAGGCCACGCUGGGACUGGGACGCGGCCCAGACUCCUACGGGAGGCAGCAGUAGGGAACCUUCGGCAAUGGAGGCAAGGCUGACCGAGCAACGCCGCGUGGGUGCAGGAGGUUUUCGGAUCGUAAAACUCAGUUGUUAGGGAAGAACAAGGAUGAGAGUGAAAAGUUAAGCACUUGACGGUAUCUAACCAGAAAGCCACGGCUAACUACGUG
rnacentral:rRNA from 1 species